GGUGCAGCAGGCGCGAAAACUUUACAAUGCGGGAAACCGUGAUAAGGGGACACCGAGUGCCAGCAUCAUAUGCUGGCUGUCCGGGUGUGUAAAAUACACCCGUUAGCAAGGGCCGGGCAAGACCGGUGCCAGCCGCCGCGGUAACACCGGCGGCCCGAGUGGUGAUCGUGAUUAUUGGGUCUAAAGGGUCCGUAGCCGGUUUGGUCAGUCCUCCGGGAAAUCUGACGGCUCAACCGUUAGGCUUUCGGGGGAUACUGCCAGGCUUGGAACCGGGAGAGGUAAGAGGUACUACAGGAGUAGGAGUGAAAUCUUGUAAUCCCUGUGAGACCACCUGUGGCGAAGGCGUCUUACCAGAACGGGUUCGACGGUGAGGGACGAAAGCUGGGGGCACGAACCGGAUUAGAUACCCGGGUAGUCCCAGCUGUAAACGAUGCUCGCUAGGUGUCAGGCAUGGCGCGACCGUGUCUGGUGCCGCAGGGAAGCCGUGAAGCGAGCCACCUGGGAAGUACGGCCGCAAGGCUGAAACUUAAAGGAAUUGGCGGGGGAGCAC
rnacentral:rRNA from 1 species